AAAUUAGUUAAUGAGCUUGAAUAAGCUUAUAUUUUGAAAAUAUAGGAUAGAAAAUAAAUUUUCUAUUAACUU
rnacentral:tRNA from 1 species